rnacentral:rRNA from 1 species
AGUGAACGCUGGCGGUAGGCCUAGCACAUGCAAGUCGAACGGCAGCACAGUAAGAACUUGCUCUUACGGGUGGCGAGUGGCGGACGGGUGAGGAAUACAUCGGAAUCUACUUUUUCGUGGGGGAUAACGUAGGGAAACUUACGCUAAUACCGCAUACGACCUACGGGUGAAAGCAGGGGAUCUUCGGACCUUGCGCGAUUGACUGAGCCGAUGUCGGAUUAGCUAGUUGGCGGGGUAAAGGCCCACCAAGGCGACGAUCCGUAGCUGGUCUGAGAGGAUGAUCAGCCACACUGGAACUGAGACACGGUCCAGAGUCCUACGGGAGGCAGCAGUGGGGAAUAUUGGACAAUGGGCGCAAGCCUGAUCCAGCCAUACCGCGUGUGUGAAGAAGGCCUUCGGGUUGUAAAGCCCUUUUGUUGGGAAAGAAAAGCAGCAGGUUAAUACCCCGCUGUUCUGACGGUACCCAAAGAAUAAGCACCGGCUAACUUCGUG